GCGGCCGUGGUCUAGCCUGGUAGGACACCAGCCUUCCACGCUGGUAGUCGCGGGUUCAAAUCCCGCCGGCCGCA
rnacentral:tRNA from 3 species